GCAGCUGUGACCUGAGAUUGCUGCAAUUUUCAUAGAAUAUAAGGGCUGAAAAGGACCACAGGAGGUCAUCUAGUUCAAUCCCCUGCUCAAAGCAGGAUCAGUCGCCAACUAAAUC